rnacentral:rRNA from 1 species
GCUCAGGAUGAACGCUAGCUACAGGCUUAACACAUGCAAGUCGAGGGGCAGCAUGGUCUUAGCUUGCUAAGGCUGAUGGCGACCGGCGCACGGGUGAGUAACACGUAUCCAACCUGCCGUCUACUCUUGGCCAGCCUUCUGAAAGGAAGAUUAAUCCAGGAUGGGAUCAUGAGUUCACAUGUCCGCAUGAUUAAAGGUAUUUUCCGGUAGACGAUGGGGAUGCGUUCCAUUAGAUAGUAGGCGGGGUAACGGCCCACCUAGUCAACAAUGGAUAGGGGUUCUGAGAGGAAGGUCCCCCACAUUGGAACUGAGACACGGUCCAAACUCCUACGGGAGGCAGCAGUGAGGAAUAUUGGUCAAUGGGCGAUGGCCUGAACCAGCCAAGU